rnacentral:rRNA from 1 species
GGACUACUGGGGUAUCUAAUCCUGUUUGCUCCCCACGCUUUCGCGCCUCAGCGUCAGUUACAGCCCAGAAAGUCGCCUUCGCCACUGGUGUUCCUCCACAUCUCUACGCAUUUCACCGCUACACGUGGAAUUCCACUUUCCUCUUCUGUACUCAAGCCACCCAGUUUCCAGUGCGACCACAGGUUGAGCCCAUGGUUUAAACACCAGACUUAAGUAGCCGCCUGCGCGCGCUUUACGCCCAAUAAUUCCGGACAACGCUUGCCCCCUACGUAUUACCGCGGCUGCUGGCAC